UACGUAGGGUGCAAGCGUUGUCCGGAAUUAUUGGGCGUAAAGAGCUCGUAGGCGGUUUGUUGCGUCGGCUGUGAAAUCCCGAGGCUCAACCUCGGGUCUGCAGUCGAUACGAGCAAACUAGAGUGUUGCAGGGGAGACUGGAAUUCCUGGUGUAGCGGUGAAAUGCGCAGAUAUCAGGAGGAACAUCGGUGGCGAAGGCGGGUCUCUGGGCAACAACUGACGCUGAGGAGCGAAAGCAUGGGGAGCGAACAGG
rnacentral:rRNA from 1 species